rnacentral:rRNA from 1 species
AUACGUAGGUGGCGAGCGUUAUCCGGAAUUACUGGGUGUAAAGGGUGUGUAGGCGGGAAGGCAAGUCGGAUGUGAAAAUUAUGGGCUCAACCCAUAAAGGGCGACCGAAACUGUUUUUCUUGAGGAUCGGAGAGGUAAUGAGAAUUUCCGGCGUAGCGGUGAAAUGCGCAGAGAUCGGGAGGAAUACCGGUGGCGAAGGCGAAUUACUGGACGAUAACUGACGCUGAGACACGAAAGCGUGGGGAGCAAACAGGAUUAGAUACCCUGGUAGUCCACGCCCUAAACGAUGAAUACUAGGUGUGGGGGGACUGACCCCUUCCGUGCCGGAGUAAACACAAUAAGUAUUCCACCUGGGGAGUACGGUCGCAAGAUUGAAACUCAAAGGAAUUGGCGGGG